GAUGAAGAACGUAGCGAAAUGCGAUACGUAAUGUGAAUUGCAAAUUCAGUGAAUCAUCGAGUCUUUGAACGCACAUUGCGCCCCCUGGUAUUCCGGGGGGCAUGCCUGUCCGAGCGUCAUUGCUGCCCUCAAGCACGGCUUGUGUGUUGGGCCCCGUCCUCCGAUCCCGGGGGACGGGCCCGAAAGGCAGCGGCGGCACCGCGUCCGGUCCUCGAGCGUAUGGGGCUUUGUCACCCGCUCUGUAGGCCCGGCCGGCACUUGCCGAUCAACCCAAAUUUUUUAUCCAGGUUGACCUCGGAUCAGGUAGGGAUACCCGCUGAACUUAAGCAUAUCAAUAAGCGGAGGA
rnacentral:misc_RNA from 1 species